GAACAAGGGGGGAAAACAGAUUUCAUCUGCAUCAAGGAGUCUGACUUAUAAAAACAAAAUAAAACUUUAAUACUUUCCUAAGAAUAAAGCACUGACUGCUUUUCCAUGAAGAAGUUUUAAAAACUUGUAGAUAAUUUUUCUGAGAUGACAACACUAUUGCUGAGGAUGUAUAUAAAAUCAGAUUUUUUUUCAAUUACCUAUUUCGGUUAAUACGCACUUAGUUUUAAUAUUAUUUAAAAUUGGUGGAAACUUAACGAUACCACCAUAGGAAAAAUAUAGUAUAAAAAUAUAGCACGGGGCCAUGCAGCGUGAGCACGCAGAGCAGUGGAGGGGGCGGACUUCCACUCAGGAAUCUGCGAACCCCAGUCGGUGCCGCAUCCCCAGCCUGCCACCCAUGGCCGCCUACAAACUGGUGCUGAUCUGGCAUGGCAAGAGCGUGUGGAAACUGGAGAACCGCUUCAGCGGCUGGUGCAGUGUAGACCUGAGCUCUGCAGGCCACAAGGAGGCCAAGUGUGGUGGGCAGGCACUGCAAGAUGCUGGCUAUGGGUUUCACAUGUGUUUCAUAUCAAUGCAGAAGACAGCGACCCGGAGCCUCUCUGUACAGUGCUAAGUGCCAUUGAUCAGAUGUGGCUGCCAGUAGUGAGGACUUAGCGCCUCAGUGGGAUCUCACCGGUCUCAGUAAAGCAGAAACUGCUGCAAAGCAUGGUGAGACCCAGGUAAAGAUCUGGAGGUGCUCCUAUGAUGUCACACCACCUCCAAUGGAGCCUGACCAUCCUUUCUACAGCAACAUCAGUAAGGAUCGCAGGUAUCCAGACCUCAAAGAAGAUCAGACACCCUCCUUUGAGGGUCUGAAGAACACUAUUGCCAGAGCUCUGCCCUUCUGGAAUGAAGAAAUAGUUCUCCAGAUCAAGGAGGGGAAAUGGGUACUGAUUGCUGCCCAUGGCAACAGCCUUCGGGGCAUUGUCAAGCAUCUGGAGGGUCUCUCUGAAGAGGCUAUCAUGGAGCUGAACCUGCCGACUGGUACUCCCAUUGUCUAUGAAUUGGACAAGAACUUGAAGCCCAUCAAUCCCAUGCAGUUCCUGGGAGAUAAAGAGACCGUGCGUAAAGCCAUGGAAGGUGUGGCUACCCAGGUCAAGGCCAAGAAGUGAAAGCCAGAGGGCAAGCUAUUGUCCCCAGGAGCAUGUUCCCUGCCUGUCUCGCCCCUUUGCCCCUCCCUCCUGCACAUGUCACACUGUCCACAUCUGUAGGCAUCUUGAGCUGUAGCUGCAGAUGGGGACCAGUAGUUCCCAUUUUCAUUUUAGCCAUUUUGUCUCCUGCACCCAUUCCCUUCAUACAUUCUAGUCAGAGUAGCACUUCUAGGGCACAGGUUCUCAGUCCAAGCUGUGGAAAAGUUCCCCUUAUCCAAAAGUGUUUAAAGGUAGUGAGUUGGGUUUUUUUGAGUGCUUUGUUUACUAAGGACUUGUGGGGAAGAAUCAUGCUAAGCCAUGACCAAUGAAGAGAAGCAAGAGAGGCUGUCUGCCCCCAGGAACCAGUCCUGUGUUCUUCUGCAGUCAGGCCAUUGCCCGGGGGCUAUAGUCAUUCCAGUGGAAGACGAAUGUAACCUGCAUGGUGAUGUGACAACUGUUUCCUCCCUGGCCCCAGAGGAACUGGCUCUAGAAGGUUGGGACAGAUCCUAAAUUUAGUUUGUGUGUUACAUUUACUUUUAUAUAUAAAAAAAGAAAGUAUAGUAUAUACAUAAUUAAUACAAAA